UCGACUGUUUUACAAAAACAUUUCUUUUUUAUUUAUUUGUAAAGUAAAGCCUGCCCACUGAGUGAUUGAAGGGCCGCGGUAUUUUGACCGUGCUAAGGUAGCGUAAUCAUUAGCCUUUUAAUUAGAGGAUAGUAUGAAUGGUUCAACCCACAAUUUUUUUUUAAGUAAGUAAAAUUGAAUUUUAAGUUAAAGUGAAAAUUCUUUACGGGCAAAAAAAGACGAUAAGACCCUAUAGAGCUUAAUAACAAAAACUUGUUUUUGUUUUGGGGGUGAAACAAAAACAAGUUUUUGUUAUUUGAUUGGGGCAAUUCAAGAAUAAAAAAAACUUCUUGUGUUUAAAUUAAACAUCUCGUUUAUUUGAAAUAUUAAAAAGUUACCUUAGGGAUAACAGCGUAAUUGUUUUUGAGAGCUCUUAUCGACAUAACAGUUUGCGACCUCGAUGUUGAAUUAAAAGUUUUUUAAGAAGCAGUAUUUUUAAAAAAUAGUCUGUUCGCCUAUUAAAAUUUUACAUGAUUUGAGUUCAGACCGGA
rnacentral:rRNA from 1 species